UACGUAGGGUGCAAGCGUUAAUCGGAAUUACUGGGCGUAAAGCGUGCGCAGGCGGUUAUGCAAGACAGAUGUGAAAUCCCCGGGCUCAACCUGGGAACUGCAUUUGUGACUGCAUAGCUAGAGUACGGUAGAGGGGGAUGGAAUUCCACGUGUAGCAGUGAAAUGACGUAGAUAUCGGAAGGAACACCAGUGGCGAAAGCGGACUUCCGUGGACCAGUACCGACGUCAGGCACGAAAGC
rnacentral:rRNA from 1 species